CAGCCGCCGCGGGAAUACGGAGGGUGCAAGCGUUAAUCGGAAUUACUGGGCGUAAAGCGCACGCAGGCGGUUUGUUAAGUCAGAUGUGAAAUCCCCGAGCUUAACUUGGGAACUGCAUUUGAAACUGGCAAGCUAGAGUCUUGUAGAGGGGGGUAGAAUUCCAGGUGUAGCGGUGAAAUGCGUAGAGAUCUGGAGGAAUACCGGUGGCGAAGGCGGCCCCCUGGACAAAGACUGACGCUCAGGUGCGAAAGCGUGGGGAGCAAACAGGAUUAGAUACCCCCGUAGUCCUUGUCUCUUAUAC
rnacentral:rRNA from 1 species